rnacentral:rRNA from 1 species
UACGUAGGUGGCAAGCGUUGUUCGGAAUUAUUGGGCGUAAAGGGCGCGUAGGCGGUUUGUUAAGUCAGCUGUGAAAGCCCGGGGCUCAACCCCGGAGAGUCGACUGAUACUGGCAGACUAGAGUACGGAAGAGGUAGCUGGAAUUACCGGUGUAGCGGUGAAAUGCGUAGAUAUCGGUAGGAACACCAGUGGCGAAGGCGGUCUCCUGGGGCAUUCUUGACGCUGAGGCGCGAAAGCGUGGGGAGCGAACAGG